rnacentral:rRNA from 1 species
UACGGAGGGUGCAAGCGUUAUCCGGAUUUACUGGGUUUAAAGGGUGCGCAGGCGGAUAUGUAAGUCAGUGGUGAAAUCUCUAGGCUUAACCUGGAAAUUGCCGUUGAUACUAUAUAUCUUGAAUGCUGUGGAGGUAAGCGGAAUAUGUCAUGUAGCGGUGAAAUGCUUAGAUAUGACAUAGAACACCUAUUGCGAAGGCAGCUUACUACGCAGAUAUUGACGCUCAUGCACGAAAGCGUGGGGGUCAAACAGG